GAGUAACACGUAGGUGACCUACCUUGAGGUGGGGGAUAACCCUGAGAAAUCGGGGCUAAUACCGCAUAAUUAGUGUAAAGUUGAAAAUAACACUAUAAAGGAUGCCUCUGCUUGCAUGCAUCCGCACCAAGAAGGGCCUGCGUAGCAUUAGCUAGUUGGUGGGGUAAUGGCCUACCAAGGCUUCGAUGCUUAACUGAUCUGAGAGGAUGAUCAGUCACACUGGAACUGAGACACGGUCCAGACUCC
rnacentral:rRNA from 1 species